ACGACUUGUUGACAACUUGUAACAACCUUGUCGAAAUUAUCAGACUUGUUGCAAGGUUUCUCUGACAAGUCCGUUACAUGCUUGGUAUAACAAGAUUGUUACAACCUUGUGUUAACAACCUUGUAACAUCCUUGUUAUAUCAUGGCUGUAACAAACUUGUUAGCACAGUCUUGUAACAUGGCUGUAACAAACUUGUUAGCACAAGUCUGCCAACAAGCCGU